rnacentral:rRNA from 1 species
AGAGUUUGAUCCUGGCUCAGGAUGAACGCUAGCUACAGGCUUAACACAUGCAAGUCGAGGGGAAACGAUAUUGGAAGCUUGCUUCCGAUAGGCGUCGACCGGCGUACGGGUGAGUAACGCGUAUCCAACCUGCCCACCACUUGGGGAUAACCUUGCGAAAGUAAGACUAAUACCCAAUGACGUCUCUAGAAGACAUCUGAAAGAGAUUAAAGAUUUAUCGGUGAUGGAUGGGGAUGCGUCUGAUUAGCUUGUUGGCGGGGUAACGGCCCACCAAGGCGACGAUCAGUAGGGGUUCUGAGAGGAAGGCCCCCACAUUGGUACUGAGACACGGACCAAACUCCUACGGGAGGCAGCA